ACAAUGUGAAGUUGCAAGUUACAAUGUGAACUUACGUUAUUACAAUGCCGUGAGAAGUUUAAAUUACCGGGAAACGUUACAACAAGACUAAAAGUAAAUAAAGCGCGCGCAAACAGUGGAACAAAGAAAAACACAAC